UCAAAGACUUUAAUGAUAUUCUUGGAGGAAAUUGUGAGAUGAACCGACUUGAAGAUAUCAUUGGUGUGGUUCAAGAAAUCAACAAUUUUCAAUACAACAAUUCUGGAAAAAAAUCAUUUGUUUCACUGAGUCUUAAAGACUUGAAAGGAGUCAUUGUUAACUGCACAUUAUGGGAGAGCUACGGAACAAAAUUUUUGGACUUCUACCACGACGAAAAAAAACAGUGGUGCUAUUGUAAUAAUACUAACUCAUGC